rnacentral:rRNA from 1 species
GAUGAACGCUAGCGGCAGGCCUAAUACAUGCAAGUCGAACGGGAUUGCGGUAGUAGCUUGCUACUACUGCAUGAGAGUGGCGCACGGGUGCGUAACGCGUGAGCAACCUACCCAUAUCAGGGGGAUAGCCCGGCGAAAGUCGGAUUAACACCGCAUAACAUCAACAGUUCGCAUGUUCAGUUGAUUAAAUAUUUAUAGGAUAUGGAUGGGCUCGCGUGACAUUAGCUAGUUGGUAGGGUAACGGCUUACCAAGGCAACGAUGUCUAGGGGCUCUGAGAGGAGGAUCCCCCACACUGGUACUGAGACACGGACCAGACUCCUACGGGAGGCAGCAGUAAGGAAGAUUGGGCAAGGGGCGCAAGCCUGAACCAGCCAUGCCGCGUGCAGGAGGACUGCCCUAUGGGUGGUAAACUGCUUUUAUCAGGGAAUAAACCCCUUUACGAGUAGAGGGUUGAAUGUACCUGAAGAAUAAGGAUCGGCUAACUCCGUG